CAGAGCAUUGGUGAUGGAGUUCACCAAGAACCGUCCCACCGUGAAAGCGGGACUGAUGACUCCUACCGAAGA
rnacentral:ncRNA from 2 species